CUGGAGACAGUCUUGUGCCUUCGGGAACUGAGAGACAGGUGCUGCAUGGGCUGUCGUCAGCUCGUGUUGUGAAAUGUUGGGUUAAGUCCCGCAACGAGCGCAACCCUUAUCCUUGUUUGCCAGCACUUCGGGUGGGAACUCCAGGGANACUGCCGGUGAUAAACCGGAGGAAGGUGGGGACGACGUCAAGUCAUCAUGGCCCUUACGAGUAGGGCUACACACGUGCUACAAUGGCGCAUACAGAGGGCGGCCAACUUGCGAAAGUGAGCGAAUCCCAAAAAGUGCGUCGUAGUCCGGAUUGGAGUCUGCAACUCGACUCCAUGAAGUCGGAAUCGCUAGUAAUCGUGGAUCAGAAUGCCACGGUGAAUACGUUCCCGGGCCUUGUACACACCGCCCGUCACACCAUGGGAGUGGGCUGCAAAAGAAGUGGGUAGUUUAACUUGCGGGGGG
rnacentral:rRNA from 1 species